AAAAUAAAAUAAAUAAAUAAUAAGAAACAAAAUAAAGCAAUUGGACUGAAAACUUCCCUAGUUUGCAGUAAAAUCAAGCGAUGACCCCCCAAGCUAAAAUUCUGCAAUCAACUUCAAGGGUGGAAAUAACCAAAAGUUCCUGCAAAGAAAAGAAAUAAUUCAGUUAAGUAACACAAGAAAUAAUGCAAACAAAAAAUUGAAAAUCACGAUAAAAGACAAUGAAUAGAACUAAUAAGUGAGCAUUGGUCGUGCUUGUUGACUUUCCACAGCUUUCCUCUUGAACGAGGUGACACUUGGCUUUUUACUUGCAAUUGAUGAUUUGAUGAUAUUGUACGGCGGAGCUUUUCUCUUUGGUGAUGUUGCAGUUCUUUAUUUGUUCUCCAAGCAGAUGUGGCAGCUUCUCUAGUUCUUCAGCUCGGACUCCUUGUGCUGGGUUGAUUGUACGAGCUGCAUUCUUCUCUGCUUGUUUCCUCUGCAUGGCGGGCAGGCACGAGGUAGAGGUAUUGGUCUGUUUCUUUCUUCAAUCUUUCCAAGUGCCCACCUCUUGCUUUCUUUCUCCUUGUCCCUAGUUGAGGAUGAAUCAGCACGUUGUCUCCACAUGCUUCGAGGUAUCAUCUUCACUUCCCUUAUACGUAAGAGACGAAGAGGAAACACAAGAUGAUGAGUACUCGAGAGCAAGUGCUGGCUGGAGAAAGGACAUGGAGAAAGCAUGAUAUGAGAUACUCUUGCUUUCAACCUUUAUGAUAUGAAAUACUUUUGCUUUGAAUGUGUUGUUCGCAGGAGUAUCCCAAGGAAUGAGGAACACAGAGUAACUUAGGAGGAUUCUUUGGGGAUGCAUUUUCGGAGAUGAAGAAGGUUUGAGUGAGGCUACUUUGCAAUGAAGUUUAACAUUUAUAGAAUUUUCUUAAUGGCUGGUAGAGGUACUGUUCAAUUAUCCCAGGGUUACCGACACGAGUAAAAGAACAGUGCAACGUGCUUUCCCACUUCACCAUAAAUUUUCGACUAGCUAUUCGUGAUUUCCGCAAAGCAGAUUCCUCAUUGAUAUCUGGAAUCGGCCCUUCGAGCUCUGAGCAUCGUCGAUUGUAGAGGUAGAAUGUGACACGUGCGGAUAAAUCUGGAAAAGAAGAUUUGCCCGUGGGUUGAAGCCCAGCUUUUGAGAAAG
rnacentral:lncRNA from 1 species